rnacentral:lncRNA from 1 species
GCAUAUCUUUGACCGAACGCAUUUGUCUGAAAAGAGAAUAACGACUUGGCACGUCUAACAGUGCUCAGAGAGAGUGCUUAAAUCCCCGGGUCUCAUCAGGCACCUCCGGCGGAGGAUGGGCGGCCCAUAACUUAGGCUCAGUUUUUCCCUGGAGGCAAAAGGCACACGCGAAGCAAAUUCAAAAUGUAGAAACACAGUUCAUCAGCCAGUCCUGGUACCGUCACACUGGCACACGGAGAAGCAAGAGAAGGAAGUGGCCACUAGGUAAGCAGGGGACAUCAAAGAUAUUUGAGCAUCAGAAGAGUACGAAGGAAAAGCAGCUUGGUGUGCAGAAUGACAUGAGAACCACACCCGGAGUUUCCGGUAGCGCACAGCACAAACUAAACGGCUACGUUUUAAAACGUCUCCUGACCCCACAGGGAAGACAUACACCAGCCUAGUAACCUACCGACAGCAGCGCUGGUUCUAAGGCAGCUGGCUGUCUGGCACGGGAGGUCAAGGCCACCGUUCUUUAUUUGGUCCUCGGUGUCUUCUGGUGCAUUUCUUUUCAUCACGUCUGCACUGAAACCCCACGGUGUUGGUGCUUCUGAUUUCUGUAAAACAUGUAAACAGUAAGAGGCCUGAAAAGACAAACAAAACCCUGCACUCAGCUCGGGAAGCCCACUGCUUGCUGAACUUGGUCACAGC